rnacentral:rRNA from 1 species
GACGGACGCCGGCGGCGUGCCUAAUACAUGCAAGUAGAACGCUGAAGAGAGGAGCUUGCUCUUCUUGGAUGAGUUGCGAACGGGUGAGUAACGCGUAGGUAACCUGCCUUGUAGCGGGGGAUAACUAUUGGAAACGAUAGCUAAUACCGCAUAACAAUGGAUGACACAUGUCAUUUAUUUGAAAGGGGCAAUCGCUCCACUACAAGAUGGACCUGCGUUGUAUUAGCUAGUAGGUGAGGUAACGGCUCACCUAGGCGACGAUACAUAGCCGACCUGAGAGGGUGAUCGGCCACACUGGGACUGAGACACGGCCCAGACUCCUACGGGAGGCGGCAGUAGGGAAUCUUCGGCAAUGGGGGCAACCCUGACCGAGCAACGCCGCGUGAGUGAAGAAGGUUUUCGGAUCGUAAAGCUCUGUUGUAAGUCAAGAACGAGUGUGAGAGUGGAAAGUUCACACUGGACGGAGCUACCAGAAAG